rnacentral:rRNA from 1 species
AACGUAGGAGACAAACGUUAUCCGGAGUUACUGGGCGUAAAGGGCGUGUAGGUGGUAGUGUAAGUCUGGCGUGAAAUUUUUCGGCUUAACCGGGGAAAGGUCGUCGGAUACUGCACAACUAGAGGACGGUAGAGGCGUGUGGAAUUCCCGGUGUAGCGGUGAAAUGCGCAGAUAUCGGGAGGAACACCAAUGGCGAAGGCAGCUCGCUGGGACGGUACUGACGCUGAGACGCGAAAGCGUGGGGAGCAAACAGG